UGCGUAGGCGGUCGGGAAAGUUUGAUGUGAAAGCUCCGGGCUCAACCUGGAAAAUGCAUUGAAAACUAUUCGACUAGAGGAUUGUAAGGGAGACUGGAAUUCUCGGUGUAGCAGUGAAAUGCGUAGAUAUCGAGAGGAACAUCAGUGGCGAAGGCGAGUCUCUGGACAAUUCCUGACGCUGAGGCACGAAAGCUAGGGGAGCAAACAGGAUUAGAUACCCUGGUAGUCC
rnacentral:rRNA from 1 species